AUGAUCCUACAUGAUCCCGCUUGGAGCAGGCUAUGCGCGUGGGAAAGCUUAAGUUGUGCGCAACAGGCAACAAAUGUGCAAAAUUGUCACACACGCACAGAAGUAAACUGUAUGGUUGGGGCACACCCAUGCAGAUUGAUUCUAUCACGCCCGUGCAUUGCCACGUGCGCACCUAGAAGCUGUCGUGCCUACCUCAUGCAAACAACACCUAUUAAGUUUGUUUUGGACUCUUAUUUCUUCUUCUUUUUACAAUCUGAUUCACAUGCAGAUUCCUACUCAAAUUCAAGGACAAAAGAAGCAUGCUAGCAGCAAAUUUAAUCCGAAAAGGAGUCUUCUUUUUCCUAAUUCAACAUGUAAUUUUAUGACAAAAUUUUCAAG
rnacentral:lncRNA from 1 species